rnacentral:rRNA from 1 species
AAUGAACGCUGGCGGCAGGCCUAACACAUGCAAGUCGAACGGGUCCUUCGGGACUAGUGGCGGACGGGUGAGUAACGCGUGGGAACAUACCCUUUGGUACGGAAUAGCCUCGGGAAACUGAGAGUAAUACCGUAUGUGCUCGAGAGAGGAAAGAUUUAUCGCCAAAGGAUUGGCCCGCGUUGGAUUAGGUAGUUGGUGGGGUAAUGGCCUACCAAGCCGACGAUCCAUAGCUGGUUUGAGAGGAUGAUCAGCCACACUGGGACUGAGACACGGCCCAGACUCCUACGGGAGGCAGCAGUGGGGAAUCUUAGACAAUGGGGGCAACCCUGAUCUAGCCAUGCCGCGUGAGUGAUGAAGGCCUUAGGGUUGUAAAGCUCUUUCAGUGGGGAAGAUAAUGACGGUACCCACAGAAGAAGCCCCGGCUAACUCCGUGCCAGCAGCCGCGGUAAU